UAAAGGAAAUUGGCAAGACUUUUGCCAUGGG
rnacentral:piRNA from 1 species